rnacentral:rRNA from 1 species
UACGAACCGUCCAAACGUUAUUCGGAAUCACUGGGCUUACAGAGUUCGUAGGCGGUGGAGAAAGUAGGGUGUGAAAGCCCUCGGCCUAACCGAGGAAUUGCGCCCUAAACUACUUCGCUGGAGAAGGAUAGAGGUGAGCAGAACUGAUGGUGGAGCGGUGAAAUGCGUUGAUAUCAUCAGGAAUACCGGAGGCGAAGGCGGCUCACUGGGUCCUUUCUGACGCUGAGGAACGAAAGCUAGGGGAGCGAACGGG